UACGUAGGGUGCAAGCGUUAAUCGGAAUUAGCGUGGGCGUAAAGCGUGCGCAGGCGGUGAUGUGAAGACAGAUCGGUGAAAUCCCCGGGCUCAACCUGGGAACUGCAUUUGGUGACUGCAUCGCUGGAGUACGGCAGAGGGGGAUGGAAUUCCGCGUGUAGCAGUGAAAUGCGUAGAUAUGCGGAGGAACACCGAUGGCGAAGGCAAUCCCCUGGGCCUGUACUGACGGCUCAUGCACGAAAGCCGUGGGGAGCAAACAGG
rnacentral:rRNA from 1 species